rnacentral:rRNA from 1 species
CAGCAGAGGGGAAUUUUGCGCAAUGGGGGAAACCCUGACGCAGCAACGCCGCGUGGAGGAUGAAGUCUCUUGGGACGUAAACUCCUUUCGACCGGGACGAUAAUGACGGUACCGGAAGAAGAAGCCCCGGCUAACUUCGUG